GAAUGAAGAAGCCCUUCGGGGUGUAAAGNUCUUUUCGCCGGGGACGAUAAUGACGGUACCNGAAGAAGAAGCUGCGGCUAACUACGUGCCAGCAGCCGCGGUAAUACGUAGGCAGCUAGCGUUGUUCGGAAUUACUGGGCGUAAAGAGUGUGUAGGCGGUGCUCUAAGUUCGGUGUGAAAUCUCCUGGCUUAACCUGGGAGGGUGCCNCCGNAAACUGGAAUGCUUGAACGUGGGAGAGGAAAGCGGAAUUCCUGGUGUAGCGGUGAAAUGCGUAGAUAUCAGGAGGAACACCUGUGGUGUAGACGGCUUUCUGGCCCAUUGUUGACGCUGAGACACGAAAGCGUGGGUAGCAAACAGGAUUAGAUACCCCUGGUAGUCCACGCCCUAAACGAUGCAUACUUGGUGUCGGCCAUUCAGUUGGUCGGUGCCGGAGCUAACGCGWUAARGUAUGCCGCCUGGGG
rnacentral:rRNA from 1 species